rnacentral:rRNA from 1 species
UGAACGCUGGCGGCGUGCCUAAUACAUGCAAGUCGAGCGAACGGACGAGAAGCUUGCUUCUCUGAUGUUAGCGGCGGACGGGUGAGUAACACGUGGAUAACCUACCUAUAAGACUGGGAUAACUUCGGGAAACCGGAGCUAAUACCGGAUGAUAUUUUGAACCGCAUGGUUCAAAAGUGAAAGACGGUCUUGCUGUCACUUAUAGAUGGAUCCGCGCUGCAUUAGCUAGUUGGUAAGGUAACGGCUUACCAAGGCAACGAUGCAUAGCCGACCUGAGAGGGUGAUAGGCCACACUGGAACUGAGACACGGUCCAGACUCCUACGGGAGGCAGCAGUAGGGAAUCUUCCGCAAUGGGCGAAAGCCUGACGGAGCAACGCAGCGUGAGUGAUGAAGGUAUUCGGAUCGUAAAACUCUGUUAUUAGGGAAGAACAUAUGUGUAAGUAACUGUGCACAUCUUGACGGUACCUAAUCAGAAAGCCACGGCUAACUACGUG